CGGGAUGGGAGGAUAACACCACCUGCCUAGACACAGAGAUUCAUUGUACAUCCUAGACAAAGGAGGGGGAGGACUUGUCUGGGGAAACAGAGGGCCAAAGUGAGGAUGACAUUGCGUGGGAACACCUCCUGUAAAACCUGCAGCCUGAUGGGGAAGUCUGGGUACAAGCAUGAGGAGUCUUUUGCUAUCACUCUCUUAGGAACCGGAAGGAGGAAGAGAAAGUCAAAAUCUCCAGCUGAAAUGUCCUUAUCAGUUGUACAACAGGAGGGGUAAUGGCAGAAAGGGGGGGAGUAAAAGUGUGCAUAGUGUGAUUAUAGGUUUGAGGCCUGGGCUUUAUGCCAUGAAAGCAGAUUACAUAGUCAGAGGCCAUAAGUCUCGGAGGUGUAAACAUCCAAAUCAACUGAGAAUAUUAAUCAUGUUUUCUUUUCUGUUUAUUUAUAAGUUAUUUCUAAGUUUAUUUAAUGUUGAACAGUAUGGAGCUACUAAUUAAAAAAAAUAGGGAUUGUUGGAUUGUAGCUUGAAAUAUACUUUUUAAUGAUACCAAACUAGAACUUAUUGAUUAUUUUACAUGUAUAAGGAAUGUAUAUGUUGGGGUCAAUGAAGGGUGGAUAGGAAUUUGAUGUAUGGAAAUUUACCGAGUGAGACAAGGGGAAGUGCAGAAAGUUCAUUUUCUGUUCGUAAGGAGGGAGGCAAAGGGCAACAGUCUAGUUAGUCUCUGAUAAGGCAGACCGGCUGUUGAACAAGGGAAGAGUGAGGAAUUCGACUCGAGGUCAAGUCAACAGAUGAAGUGAGAAAAAACCUUGGGGAGGGGGGACUCAAUGACUCUCCUACUACAGUCCUAUCUCAUAUACAUACACUUCCACACCCACGAAGGUUCUAGCAUCAGGCAGGGCCAUGACUACACCAGUGAGAGGAACCAAUAAGUUCCUGCCUAGCAACAGAGAUGUAUUGGCUGUCUAGAUGUGUAAGGAGUUGACCCUGCCUAGUAGGAGGUUAUAUGUGCUUGUGUAAUCAUACCUUGUCUUUGCAGCUGUAUGACCCAGUGGGUGAAUAAACUUGGGUUUGAGCUUU